GAAAUGCGAUACUUGGUGUGAAUUGCAGAAUCCCGUGAACCAUCGAGUCUUUGAACGCAAGUUGCGCCCGAAGCCUUUUUGGCCGAGGGCACGCCUGCCUGGGCGUCACACACAGCGUCGCCCCCCACCAAUCCCUCUGGAUGGGAUGGGGGGCGGAGAUUGGCCCCCCGAGCCCUCCGGGGCACGGUCGGCAUAAAUGUUGGUCCCCGGCGGCGAGCGUCGCGGUCAGCGGUGGUUGUAUACUCAUCCCCCGAGGACAAAAUGACGCGCACGCCUCGUCGCUCGUCGGGCAGAGCAAACCCCAGGGAGCACGGCUUCCACCUGCGACCCCAGGUCAGGCGGGAUUACCCGCUGAGUUUAA
rnacentral:misc_RNA from 1 species